ensembl:antisense Gm13752 predicted gene 13752
GGUCUUCCUAUGUAAACCAGGCUGGCUCUGAACUCUCAGAGAUCCUCAACUCUGCUUGGAUAAUUUUUAAAAUUUAAGGACAAAAAAGAGAGAAGUGAGAACAAAACCAGAGAGGCUAAGCAUAUCACAGAAAGUCCAAGUGGGUCACAGAAAGACAUAGGGCAUAAAAGGUCAUGCUGGAGCACUGAGGGAAUUCAGGGCAGGAACUCAAACAGGAACUGAAGUGGAGAUCAUAGAGGAACACUGACUACUGGCUUGCCCAGUCUACUUUCUUAUCCACCUCAGGACCAAGUGCCCAGAAAAUGUUGACUGGCAACUUUAAAUAAACUUUUCAAUUUUUCGUGAUCUGUCCUGAGUUAACCCAGAAUCUGUUGCACACACUCAACCACCAGUGAUCGAUGUUAGGAGUGUAAGAAAUCUCAUAGGUGGCAUCCCCAGAUCCUUGAACACGGCAGCCUGAAGAUUUUCUUCCUCUCCUAAUUCUUCAAUAA